rnacentral:rRNA from 1 species
UUGGAGGGCAAGUCUGGUGCCAGCAGCCGCGGUAAUUCCAGCUCCAAUAGCGUAUAUUAAAGUUGUUGCAGUUAAAAAGCUCGUAGUUGAAUUUCGGGGUUCUACCGUUGGUCGGGCUAACCAGUCUGUACUAGCGUGUAAAAUUCCUACCUUCUGGAGAACCAUCAUGUUAUUAAUUUAGCGUGGUGGGAAACCAGGACCUUUACCUUGAAAAAAUUAGAGUGUUCAAAGCAGGCCUACGUCUGAAUACAUUAGCAUGGAAUAAUAGAAUAGGACGGUGGUCCUGUUUUGUUGGUUUCUGAAUCACCGUAAUGAUUAAUAGGGAUAGUUGGGGGCAUUAGUAUUCAAUUGUCAGAGGUGAAAUUCUUGGAUUUAUUGAAGACUAACUUCUGCGAAAGCAUUUGCCAAGGAUGUUUUCAUUAAUCAAGAACGAAAGUUAGGGGAUCGAAGACGAUCAGAUACCGUCGUAGUCUUAWCCAUAAACUAUGCCGACUAGGGAUCGGAUGAUGUUAAUUUUUUAAUGACUCAUUCGGCGCCUUACGGGAAAC